rnacentral:rRNA from 1 species
UUUCGGGAUGAAGAGUAUUGUGACUGAGCGGCGGACGGGUGAGUAACGCGUGGGUAACCUGCCUCAUACAGGGGGAUAACAGUUAGAAAUGGCUGCUAAUACCGCAUAAGACCACAGCACCGCAUGGUGCAGGGGUAAAAACUCCGGUGGUAUGAGAUGGACCCGCGUCUGAUUAGCUAGUUGGUGAGAUAACAGCCCACCAAGGCGACGAUCAGUAGCCGACCUGAGAGGGUGACCGGCCACAUUGGGACUGAGACACGGCCCAAACUCC